rnacentral:lncRNA from 1 species
CCCCCACUGCCAGCCUCUAUCCUAUAGACCUCAGAUGUGGGGAACCGAGGGCGGCACUCUGACUGCCGUUCUUUGUUCAGAAUUUCAUCCUGAGAGGCCUGGAGAAUCAUGCCCAUGGCCACACUGAGUUGAGAUGCUAAUGAGACAUGCGUCGCGUGAAGAAGCGUGACAGAGACUGUGCAGUCAUGAUGGACAGACCACCCUAAACAUGCAAUGAUGUCAUCUGGAGGAGGCCGGAAGGAAAAUAAAUCAACAGUCCGACCAGCUUUGGGGAGCCAGCUGCAGGUCUCUUCCUGUACUGUCCCCCUUGCUGCUCCAGCUGAAAGCCCUGAUAAACUGCCUUGCUCAAGCCCAUCUUAGACUCUCGGUCAACUUCUAUUUUCUGAGGGUCCACUGGCUGGGAACGCUGUGCUCUUGGAAACUCUCCCUUCUAGGGUUCUGGGAGAGGGUGAGGGGGCUCAAGAGACCGGGGCGGUUCUCCUUCAUCCUGCUGUAAAUCCUGCACCUGACAGGGCAGGGUCCCUGGUAUCUAUAGCAUCAUCUCUCCAGCCAAAACUCAGCCCUGCUCUAACAGCCUGAGACAGUGCCCUUUCUAAAUACAGUGCUGUGAUAUGAU